AUUAAGUGGCUGAGCCUCAUUAGUAAACAUAUAGGCUUAAACUUCCCCACUCCAAUACACGAUUUUGAUAUACCGUGUCGCAUAAUUAAAGACGCACCGAGUAACGUUAAUCCUAAAUUUGUUUUCAUAAAUAGGAAAAGGUCUAUUUACAUUGAUUUCUAAAAACCUUUUUGUGAAAAUAUUGCAAAUGCAUGUUUAAAGAAGUAAACACCGGUAGUUGCAUCAAUAACAUUUUUUUAGAAUAUAAUUGUGCGUUCUAAUUUAUGUGUCAUCUAAUACUUAACACAAUAAGAUGCUAGUACAAAUGCACAAGUUAAAACAAACUAAGAUAUCCUAUUUUGAUAAAAAGUGUUGUUAUCUAUAGAUAUCGUGGAUGUCACGUGAGUGUUUACUAAAACAGGAAGUUUAAAUUGAAAUAUUCGACUAGAUGUGUCGUAAACGGGCUGAAAAACAAAUAUAGUGAUCAAAUUUGGAAUUAAUUAAUUAGUUUUAUUAGCGUAGUUUGUUGCCGCGAAAUAUUUAAAUAUUUGUGAACAGUGGAAGAGUGAUAUUUGGACGUUUAAACCGAGGAUAUAGAUGUUAAUGUGACAAAAUUGACACUCCUUCACAGAAUAUGUAAACAUUUAAAGAACGAGGACAAUGUUCAAAAUGGCAAGCACAACAAGAAUUUUGGCAUUCCUACUUAUAGUUUUGAUCAACUUAUCUAUGCCGAGAGUGAAAGCAGUUGGUAAUAAUACAACCUCAACAACGUAUGCUUCUGAAUAUACAAGCGUAACGGAUUUUUCUGCAACAACCACUCCCAAUGCACAUGUAACGACAGCAGUAGAGGAGACGACUACCCUGACAAGAACAUCAGUAGCUACAACUAAAGAACCACAAUCAUCAUCAGCAACAACGGCAAUUCCAAUAA